rnacentral:lncRNA from 10 species
AAAUUUUUUGGCAAUUUUAUUGAAGUAUAAUAAAAUUCAACAAUUCAAUACGUCUUUAUAAAUGUUCAUUGUGAUAUAGGACAGCUCUAUCACAGUACUGGGGUAAAUUUUAAUUAUAUUUAUUAAUUACAGAUGUGAAUUUCUUCGGAGUAAGAAAUCCUCAGAGGAAAUUACCCAGUAUAUUCAAAGCUACAAGGGAUUUGUUGACAUAACGGUAAUGUAUAACAGCAAUUUUUUUCUCAAGUUUUUGGAUUACCUGUAAGUGUCUGACUCAGAAGGGCAUAGGCAUUCUUUUUAUGUCAUGGGUUUGAUUUCUUUCUUCCUUUCUCCUUUCAUUCCCCUGGCUCCCAUCUUCAAAGUGAAAAAUAUCACAUUCACUUGCUGACCUAGAGCCUUUUUCUUUUUCCAGGUCUGGCUUCUGACGGGCUCUGCUUGCCUUCCUGAUAGUCUUCCCCUUUAUGAAUGAAGCCACUUGCCCCAGCUUCCCUCUGCUGCCCCUAUCUGCAGGCUUGCUAAGAUCUCCUGACCUAGGCGCUGUCACCCACAGUGGGCUGCAGAGCUGGCUCUUCCUAGCUGGCUAACUAUCCUGAAUCAGUAAAAAUUUCCUAGUGGAGAGUGAUGGGAAAUCGAAUCCAAACUGGCUUAAACAAAAAUGAGAAUUUAUUGAUUAACAUGACUCAGGAGACCAGAACUCUAUAGAGAACAUGGCCUGACAGUGGGGGAAGAGAGGUGUUUCCUCAAAAAGAAACUGGGUGCAGCUUUCCCAGAAGAAUCAGUUGCUCAAUAUAUAAUACCCUGAUGAAUUUAGUUACCAUUCUAUGUCUCUUACUUCCUCAUUCGUCAAAGUACAUCUGUGAUAUUUAAAUGCAGGUCUGUUUUCAAGGUCAGUUUCCGGAAACAGUGACCCUGAGAAGGCUUCCUCCUGAGUAUGCAUAAACAUUCACAGCUUGCAUGCGUGUGUGUGUGUGUGUGUGUGUGUGUGUGUGUGUAUGUUUGCUUGCACUGCAUAAAAACAAUUGCAACAUCAACAGAAAUAAAAAUUAAAGGAAUAAUUCUCCUCCGACUCUGCCGUUCCAUCCAGUGAAACUCUUCAUUCUGGGGUAAAGUUCCUUCAGUUCUUGUUCAUAGAUAGGUAUAUACUUCAUAAGUCAAACAAUCAGGCUGGGCGCAGUAGCUCAUGCCUGUAAUCCCAGCCCUUUGGGAGGCCGAGCUGGGCAGAUCACUUGAGAUCAGGUGUUCGAGACCAGCCUCAAGACCUCCAACAUGGGCCGGGUGCAGUGGCUCACGUCUGUAAUCCCAGCACUUUGGGAGGCCGAGACGGACGGAUGAUGAGGUCAGGAGAUAGAG